AACGAACGCUGGCGGCAUGCCUAACACAUGCAAGUCGAACGAGACCUUCGGGUCUAGUGGCGCACGGGUGCGUAACGCGUGGGAACCUGCCCUUAGGUUCGGAAUAACUCCCCGAAAGGGGUGCUAAUACCGGAUAAUGUCUUCGGACCAAAGAUUUAUCGCCUUUGGAUGGGCCCGCGUUGGAUUAGCUAGUUGGUAGGGUAAAAGCCUACCAAGGCGACGAUCCAUAGCUGGUCUGAGAGGAUGAUCAGCCACACUGGGACUGAGACACGGCCCAGACUCCUACAGGAAGCAGCAGUGGGGAAUAUUGGACAAUGGGCGAGAGCCUGAUCCAGCAAUGCCGCGUGAGUGAUGAAGGCCUUAGGGUUGUAAAGCUCUUUUACCCGGGAUGAUAAUGACAGUACCGGGAGAAUAAGCUCCGGCUAACUCCGUG
rnacentral:rRNA from 1 species